GCCGGGAUGGCGGAAUAGGCAGACGCGCAUGGUUAAGGACCAUGUGGUUAACGCUGUGGGGGUUCAAGUCCCCCUCCCGGCA
rnacentral:tRNA from 1 species